rnacentral:sRNA from 1 species
GCCCAGCACAUUGGCACAUGCCUGUAAUCCCAGUUACUCAGGAGGCUGAGACAGGAGGAUUGCUUGAGUCCAAGAGUUCUGAGCUGUAGUGUGCUAUGCCAAUAGGGUGUCAGCAUCAAUGUGGUGACCUCCUGUAGCAGGAAACCAGGUUGCCUAAGGAGGAGUGAACUAGCCCAGGUCAGAAAUGGAGAAAGUCAAAACUGCUCUGCUGAUCAAUAACACAGAUAUUUUAAGACUUUGUUCUAGACUUCAAAGAUAUUUU